rnacentral:misc_RNA from 1 species
UAACUAAUGCAAAUGUCCACCUGCCGAUCAAUCAUUAAACAUGACAGAAAAUUAGAAGGCAUCCAAUUUUCAAAUUAUGUGCAAUUAGAAACACAAUAAAUUUCUGCUGGUGGACUGCGGUCAUAAUUAUUGUAGAAAUAGAAUUGACAAAACCUCCGUCAAUGGUCACAAUCUCAUAAAGCAUCGGAGCCAAGCAAAUAAAAGUGGAAAUUGUAUAGAAGAGAAGCCAAAGAGGGUUAAGGCAUCUCCAGCAUGGCUUCCACAAAUCAUUCAAGAGCGAUGAUUAAAAAUAUUAAUCCGGAUUGCUGCGUGUGAUUCGGGUAUUUCAUGAUCGAUUUUAAUCAAGACUGAUUCGGAUAUUUUGUGGAUACCCUUGCCAUGCUUACUACCAGAGCACAUGCUCUCUCUCAUAUGUGUGUAAGUCCUGCUCUCCUUUAGAUAAUGAAUGGGGUAAUGCUACAUGUCUCG